rnacentral:rRNA from 1 species
GAUGAACGCUGGCGGCGUGCCUAAUACAUGCAAGUCGAGCGACGCGGGGAGAGGUGAGUAACACGUGGAUAACCUCCUAUAAGGCUGGGAUAACUUCGGGAAACCGGUGCUAAACCGGCUUCUUAUCCAUGGAUCUGCGUUGCAUUAGCUGGUUGGUAAGGUAACGGCUUACCAAGGCAACGAUGCAUAGCCGACCUGAGAGGGUGAUCGGCCACACUGGAACUGAGACACGGUCCAGACUCCUACGGGAGGCAGCAGUAGGGAAUCUUCCGCAAUGGGCGAAAGCCUGACGGAGCAACGCCGCGUGAGUGAUGAAGGUCUUCGGAUCGUAAAACUCUGUUAUCAGGGAAGCGGUACCUAAUCAGAAAGCCACGGCUAACUACGUGCCAGCAGCCGCGGUAAUUC